rnacentral:rRNA from 1 species
AUUCAGCAGCCGCGGUAAUACGUAGGCGGCAAGCGUUACCCGGAAUUACUGGGCGUAAAGAGUGCGUAGGUGGUUUUGUAAGUUUUCGUUAAAAUACGUCGGCUUAACCGACGGACCGCGGAAAUACUACAUAACUUAGAGGAAUUCAGGGGGUGCCGGAAUAGAUGGUGGAGUAGUGAAAUGCGUUGAUAUCAUCUAGAACACCCAAGGCGAAGGCAGGCACCUGGGAAUUUCCUGACACUGUUGCACGAAAGCGUGGGGAGCGAACCGGAUUAGAUACCCGGGUAGUCCACGCCGUAAACGAUGGACACUAGAUAUUGGGCUGGUGACGGUUCAGUGUCGUAAGCUAACGCGUUAAGUGUCCCGCCUGGGGAGUACGGCCGCAAGGCUAAAACUCAAAGGAAUUGACGGGGACCCGCACAAGCAGGGGAACGUGUGGUUUAAUUCGAGACAAAGCGAAGAACCUUACCAGGGUUUGACAUGUAAGUGGUAGGAACCCGAAAGGGUAACGACCCGCAAGGGAGCUUACACAGGUGCUGCAUGGUUGUCGUCAGCUCGUGCCGUGAGGUGUACCCUUAAGUGGGGUAACGAGCGCAACCCCUAUCAGUUGUUGUAUCACUCAACUGAGACCGCCUCCGUAAACCGGGGGAGGAAGGAGGGGACGACGUCAAAUCAUCAUAGCCCUUAUGUCCUGGGCUACACACACGUUACAAUGGGCGUUAACAAUGGGUUGCUACUUCGCGAGAAGAUGCUAAUCUCUAAAUACGCUCUCAGUUGGGAUUGUAGUCUGCAAUUCGACUACAUGAACGCGGACUUGCUAGUACUCGCAGGUCAGCACACUGCGGGGAAUACGUUCUCGGGUCUUGUACACACCGCCCGUCAAGUGAGCCGAGUCGGGGGUAGCUGAAGCGGCUAGAUAACUAGUUUCGAGGCUAAAUUCGGCAAGGAGCGCUAAGUCGUAACAAGGUAACCAAU